rnacentral:rRNA from 1 species
GCGCAACGUUCAUCGGCGCAGGGUGAGUCGGCCCCUAAGGCGAGGCUGAAAAGCGUAGUCGAUGGGAAACAGGUCAAUAUUCCUGUACCUCUUUGUAAUGCGAUGGGGGGACGGAGAAGGUUAGGUCAGCCGGGUGUUGGACGUCCCGGUUCAAGCGUGUAGGCAGACCUCUUAGGCAAAUCCGGGGGGUCAAUGCCGAGGCGUGAUAACGAGUGGCUUUGGCCGCGAAGUGAUUGAUACCAUGCUUCCAAGAAAAGCCUCUAAGCUUCAGUUACAAGGAGACCGUACCGCAAACCGACACAGGUGGGCAGGAUGAGAAUUCUAAGGCGCUUGAGAGAACUCAGGAGAAGGAACUCGGCAAAUUAGCACCGUAACUUCGGGAUAAGGUGCGCCCUGACAGGUUGUAGCCCCUCGCGGGUGAAGGCCGAAAGGGUUGCAGUGAAAUGGUGGCUGCGACUGUCUAAUAAAAACACAGCACUCUGCAAACACGAAAGUGGAAGUAUAGGGUGUGACGCCUGCCCGGUGCCGGAAGGUUAAGUGAUGGGGUGCAAGCUCUUGAUCGAAGCCCCGGUAAACGGCGGCCGUAACUAUAACGGUCCUAAGGUAGCGAGAUUCCUUGUCGGGUAAGUUCCGACCUGCACGAAUGGCGUAACGAUGGCCACACUGUCUCCUCCUGAGACUCAGCGAAGUUGAAAUGGUUGUGAAGAUGCAAUCUCCCCGCGGUUAGACGGAAAGACCCCAUGAACCUUUACUGUAGCUUUGCAUUGGACUUUGAACCGACUUGUGUAGGAUAGGUGGGAGGCUGUGAAGCCGGGACGCUAGUCUUGGUGGAGCCAACCUUGAAAUACCACCCUGGUCUGUUUGAGGUUCUAACCAUGGCCCGUGAAUCCGGGUCUGGGACCGUGCAUGGUAGGCAGUUUGACUGGGGCGGUCUCCUCCUAAAGUGUAACGGAGGAGUACGAAGGUACGCUAGGUACGGUCGGACAUCGUGCUGAUAGUGCAAUGGCAAAAGCGUGCUUGACUGCGAGACUCACACGUCGAGCAGGUACGAAAGUAGGUCAUAGUGAUCCGGUGGUUCUGUAUGGAAGGGCCAUCGCUCAACGGAUAAAAGGUACUCUGGGGAUAACAGGCUAAUACCGCCCAAGAGUUCAUAUCGACGGCGGUGUUUGGCACCUCGAUGUCGGCUCAUCACAUCCUGGGGCUGCAGUUGGUCCCAAGGGUAUGGCUGUUCGCCAUUUAAAGUGGUACGUGAGCUGGGUUUAAAACGUCGUGAGACAGUUUGGUCCCUAUCUGCCGUGGGCGCUGGAAAUUUGAAGGGGGCUGCUCCUAGUACGAGAGGACCGGAGUGGACGAACCUCUGGUGUACCGGUUAUGACGCCAGUCGUAUUGCCGGGUAGCUAAGUUCGGAAGAGAUAAACGCUGAAAGCAUCUAAGCGUGAAACUCGCCUUGAGAUAAGAUUUCCCUGGGGACUUGAUCCCCCUGAAGGGUCGUGGUAGACCACCACGUUGAUAGGCUGGGUGUGGAAGCGCAGCAAUGCGUUAAGCUAACCAGUACUAAUUGCCCGUGAGGCUUGAGC